rnacentral:misc_RNA from 1 species
GAUGAAGAACGUAGCGAAAUGCGAUAAGUAAUGUGAAUUGCAGAAUUCAGUGAACCAUCGAAUCUUUGAACGCACAUUGCGCCCGCCAGUAUUCUGGCGGGCAUGCCUGUUCGAGCGUCAUUUCAACCCUCAAGCCCAGCUUGGUGUUGGGGAUCGGCACAGGCGCCCUCGGGCGCCCGCCGUCCCCUAAAUCUAGUGGCGGUCCCGCUGCAGCCUCCUCUGCGUAGUAGUUUUCUCCUCGCAAGGGCAGCUCGGUGGCGACCUCGCCGUAAAACCCCCAACUUCUGAAAGGUUGACCUCGAAUCAGGUAGGAAUACCCGCUGAACUUAAGCAUAUCAAUAAGCGGAGGA